UAGAACAAAGCGAACUGUGCGGGGCCCGAAGGAUCGUGGACACAGUGUUGGAGAAUGACAAGAUGGAGUGCCUACAGCAGUCUGCCAUCCACAAUAGAUGAUCACUGCAUGCUUGUUGAUCGACUUCAUAAAAGACCCUGAGGUUUCUCAUAAGCAAGAUGGGAUUAAGCAUGUCCUGCGUCCCAGGUGGGAAUACCGAGGCCCGGAGCGAGCUAGAGCCUCCUUCCUGGGUGGCAGCUCUUCCCGCCAGCCCGGGCCAGCUCACCUCCCACAGAUGCCAAACCAAGUCUUGGCGCUCAACCCCGGCAAGGGCGCUUCUGACCCCAGCU